GUCCAGAUGGAACCUCUGAGAACAGGGAAAGGACACUGAUGACCAUUCCCCAUAUUUCACAAUGGGAUGUGUGUUGCACCUGACCCCUCCCCUUGCCUUCAUCCUUUCUCCAGGUGGCCUUGUCUUGCUGUAGCACCAAAGUUGUAGCUCUGGGUCAGGAGCUGACGUUGGGGCUGGAGGGCUCCAAGCAUAAUUACCUGGGAUCUGAUUCCACUGAAAAUCACUCAUGUCAUAGCCACAAUGAACUUCCUUAUAUACAAAUCUCUGGGAGAUGAGCCAAUGUUUCUGCAGAAGAGGUUUCUCUCGUGAACCUUCUCUGAGGGUCUUCAACAGCCAUAAACUUUCACCUAGAGUCAUCAGAGCAACCCCGUGAAGACAAACCAUGGCCCCUACUGCAUAAAAUAAGAUUUCAGCUAUGAUUCAUGAACUAAAUUCAGCACAGCCCUUGUGAUCGUGCCAAACUGGCUCUGCUGGGGGUCCUCACAGCCCGACUUACUCCUCCACCCCAGGUGACAGGGAAGGGGCACAGAUCGCCUGGUCUGGUUGCUGGAAUUCCGAGACUGAAGGAGUAGAGGAGCCACAGCCCGCUGUCUGAAGUGGGGGUGUGGGCAGAUAGUGCCCCCCCAGAAUGAUGGAGAGCCUAAGGACACAAGCCCGGGGCUAGAGAGACUUGGGUUCGAGUUGCAGCUCCGCGACUUUUCCAAAGGCGUUUUCUUGGCAACCCGGAUUUCAGGUUUCUCAUCUGUAAGAUGGAAGUGAUACUUGGUAUUUACCUCCCAGUGCAGUGGGGGAAUUGAUACAAAGCAUAAUUACAGGGAGAGAGCAGGCUGGUCACUGACACUUAGCCACCUGGCAUUUGAGAGGUUCUAACUAGCAGGAUUGGGAACGGAAAAUUGUGCCACUCGCAUUCACCUUAAACUUAUUUCAUUGUAAAGGAAUAGGGUUGUUGCCUUUUCCGUUGUUCCCUUUUUAUUAUCUUUCCACCCCCACAUCUCAAUUCCGCAUGGAACUUCAGGUAAAACAUCAUUUCUAUGCUUUGAGGAGGGGUCCCGGAGACCUUGGUCUCUGAGGAUUAAUAUUGUAGCUCCGUGACAGGACAGGUGUUAGAGAAAUGUGAACACCUUGGGCUGGGUAGCAGGAACAGUCGGGCUCCAGAGUCAAGCAAACCUGGGUAGAA